rnacentral:rRNA from 1 species
UAACGAUGCAACGUCUAAGGGUGCAGCACGGGUAGCAAAUACCUGGUGGCGACCGGCGCACGGGUGCGUAACGCGUAUGACCAUUAACCGGGGAAUAGCCCAGAGAAAUCUGGAUUAAUGCCCCAUAGUAUUAUCGAAAGGCAUCUAGUGAUAAUUUCAGCUCAGGCGGUAAUUGAUGAACAUGCGUGUCAUUAGUUUGUUGGUGAGGUAACGGCUCACCAAGUGACUACGAUGACUAGAGCGUCUGAGAGGAUGAUCCUGCACACUGGUACUGAGACACGGACCAGACUCCUACGGGAGGCAGCAGUGAGGAAUAUUGGUCAAUGGCCGGAAGGCUGAAGAUCCCAUCCCGCGUGCAGGAUGACGGCCCUAUGGGUUGUAAACUGCUUUUAUACACCAAGAGUCAUCCCAACGUGCUUCGGAGCUGAAGGUACCGUAAGAAUAAGGAUCGGCUAACUCCGUGCCAGCAGCCGCGGUAAUACGGAGGAUCCAAGCGUUAUCCGGGAUUACUGGGUUUAAAGGGUGCGUAGGCGGAUUGAUAAGUCAGUGGUGAAAGCCUGCAGCUUAACUGCAGAACUGCCAUUGAUACUGCCAGUCUGGAGUAUGGUUGAGGUAUAGCGGAAUGUGUAGUGUAGCGGUGUCUUGCUUAGAUAUUACACAGAACACCAAUUGCGAAGGCAGCUUACUAAACUGAUACUGACGCUGAUGCACGAAAGCGUGGCAAGCGAACAGGAUUAGAUACCCUGGUAGUCCACGCCGUAAACGAUGCUCACUCUAUGUUUGCGAUACACAGCAAGCGGCCAAGCGAAAGCAUUAAGUGAGCCACCUGGGGAGUACGAUCGCAAGGUUGAAACUCACCUGAAUUGACGGCCGCUCGCACAAACGGAGGAACAUGUGGUUUAAUUCGAUGAUACGCGAGGAACCUUACCUGGGCUUAAAUGUAGAGCGACAGAUUGUGAGUACGUCUUCUUCGGACGAUCUACAAGGUGCUGCAUGGUUGUCGUCCACUCGUGCUGUGAGGUGUCCGGGUUAAAGUCCCAUAACCGAGCGCAACCCUUAUCGGUUAGUUGCCAGCGGAUCAUGCCGGGGACUCUAGCGAGACUGCCACCGUAAGGUGUGAGCAAGGUGCCAUUGACGUCAAAUCAGCACGGCCCUUAUGUCCAGCGACUACACACGUGUUAUGCUGGCCUAUACAAAGGGCAGCUACCAGGUGACUGGAUGCUAAUCUCCAGUCUCAGUUCGGAUCGAAGUCUGCAACCCGACUCUCGUGAAGCUGGAUUCGCUAGUAACCGCAUAUCAGCCAUGAUGCGGUGAAUACGUUCCCGGGCCAACACACACCGCCCGUCAAACAAUGGAAGCUGGGGGUACCUGAAGUCUGUAACCGCAAGGAGCGGCCUAGGGUAGUGACUAGUCACCGCUAAGUCGUAACAAGGUAACCAUGC